rnacentral:rRNA from 1 species
GACGAACGCCGGCGGUGUGCUUAACACAUGCAAGUCGAACGGUAAGGCCCUUUCGGGGGUACACGAGUGGCGAACGGGUGAGUAACACGUGAGUAACCUGCCCUCAUCUCUGGGAUAACAGUCGGAAACGGUUGCUAAUACUGGAUAUGAGCUUGCAAGGCAUCUUGUGGGUUGGAAAGAUUUUUUUUGGUUGGGGAUGGACUCGCGGCCUAUCAGCUUGUUGGUGGGGUAGUGGCUCACCAAGGCUUCGACGGGUAGCCGGCCUGAGAGGGCGACCGGCCACAUUGGGACUGAGAUACGGCCCAAACUCCUACGGGAGGCAGCAGUGGGGAAUAUUGCACAAUGGACGGAAGUCUGAUGCAGCAACGCCGCGUGCGGGAUGACGGCCUUCGGGUUGUAAACCGCUUUCAAUUGUGACGAAGCUUUUUUGUGACGGUAGCAGUAGAAGAAGCACCGGCUAACUACGUG